AUUUCUUAACAGUUGCCGGUUUUCCCCUUGUCUGUGUUUGGCUGUGGCGUGGGCAUGCAUCGCUAACAGGACAACGAUUGCUGCUGCGUCCGAGGGCUACGAGUUUGUUUGUGCGUGCUUAAUUAUGUGCUAAGAUACAGGAGCCGGUGAACGUGGUACCAGUGUUGUGGGGUUAUUUGACGGGGGUUACUCUUCUGCACUGCUUGAGGUGAAUUAGAAGUAGACCUAAUGAGCACCUUCACAUUUAUUAUGAAUUGCUGUGUGUGUGCCUGCGUGUAUGCGAUGUGAUUCUAGAUAUUGGAGCACUGGGAGUGAUUUGCUGUGUUGACCUCCCCUCCCCCACUUCUCCAGGUAACUAGUCACUGGUCCAGUUUUCCAUUAGUGAAAUUUAGUGUCAUACAAUUGUGACAGCCAGU